UACAGAGGUCUCAAGCGUUGUUCGGAUUCAUUGGGCGUAAAGGGCGCGUAGGCGGCGCGGUAAGUCGGGUGUGAAAUCUCGGGGCUUAACUCCGAAACUGCAUUCGAUACUGUCGUGCUUGAGGACUGGAGAGGAGACUGGAAUUUACGGUGUAGCGGUGAAAUGCGUAGAUAUCGUAAGGAAGACCAGUGGCGAAGGCGGGUCUCUGGACAGUUCCUGACGCUGAGGCACGAAGGUCAGGGGAGCAAACGGG
rnacentral:rRNA from 1 species